rnacentral:lncRNA from 1 species
AAUGAAACAAAAUCUUAUUACUAUAUUUUUUAAUCAUAACCAAUAUUGCAAUGCUCAGUCCAUCCAAUUGGUCGAAUAGUGUUUUUGGAGCGGUUACGACAAUAGUCCAAUGGGAGGGAAUCGCACUACUACCUCUCGGUGAUGAGUCCUGGCCCUGUUACUGAUAAGCUAUUGAGGUUACAACAAACGAGGAUCGAACCCAUGACCUUAGUGUGAAACUCUGAACUGUGAGCUAUUGAAGCUUAAAUUAGUAUAACGCCUUUAUGAACUACCUUGCAGGCAAGCCAUAGGCUGAUCAAGAGUCACGCAAUGUGCAGUGAAAAGCGAGAUAUAUUAUGUGUACAGUGCCCGUCACGAGAUAUUGUGUUUGUGAAGUUAGCAACAAAUGACUGCGCAAUGAAUCAAUAACAGUACAAACGACGCGGGCGGGAGCCGGCUAGAUGCGUCCGCGCAUCUACACUCAUUCUGCAGCUAACUUCACAAACAUAAAGAUCCGUGGCGAGCACUACACGAAUAUAUCACGCUAUAAAGAUAUGAGUAGCCUUUUUACAUUGCAACAAAAAUUUUAAUCUCUAGCACCUAAAAUAAAUAAAAUCAUUAAAAUAUAAUUAGUAUCCUUAACUUUAAGGACCUUAUAAUGGACACGUUAAUAUCUUGUUUGUUGAAGUUAUAUCAAGAAAAAUAAUACUCUAUGUGGUGUGACAUUGUUGCCUCAUGGCACGUAACUCACAAGUUGUCUCAUAGCUGCUGUUAUUUGCACAAAGUUUUAACAACAAUUUCAUACAGUAUUUUCCUUAGAUUACGAAUACGUUUACUUACUAUUUAUAAAUCUUGCACAUUUAAAACACUGUUACAUUUGUUAAUACUUCAUAUAGCGUUUUUAUUUAAAAAAGAUACGUUUAAUAUGUGAUUUUCGUUUAAAUCUUCAACAUAAAAUGACAGACCAAUUAGUUCUAGGCAAGGAAACACGCAUUGCGUGGGCAGACACUAUUUUCGGAAGUGGUUAUACACCUACGUAAUAUUCUAAAGGUUCUUAAAAAGGCAUUGUUGUUGCUAUUAACAUUAAGAUUAUGAAUACAAAAGCCACGAAAGAGCUCGUGUCUAUUUCUCGAUUGAUACGAAUCUAAGGCUUGUUGCACAUUACAUUACAGCGCAUUUUUCUCCACAUACUUAAUUAGACAUGCUUUAAUUACUAAGAUACACUAUCUCGUCUAUGCAAUCCUUUCUCUGAAAGUUAUCUGUAAGAGAUUGCUCUAGUAAUAAGGCCGCCUUUGCACAACCCUAGUAUUUAAACACCCGUUUAUUAAGUCAAUUGUUUAAACCUUUCAGGCUACUCCAGUGGAAAAAUUAAAAGUAUGUAGAUUUCUCUUUCUAAUUUUUAAUUAUUUUUAAGUUCAUAGUAGAUUAGUAUUAUAUAGUAGUAGAUUUAAUUACAGAAUUACAGUAUUGUCAACGGCAAAGGGUGCACAGAAAAACUUUGACAAGUUUAUGUCUGCACCUUUUAAUUUUUAUCAUGUAAUUAUUAUAUAUAAUUAACUAAAUAAAAAAAAAUUAAGGUGUGCGUUAAAAAUUUGUGUUAUUAUUUUAUACUUCGUGCUAUCUUUCUAUUACAUAGAUGAAAAAUUCCUUAACUUCGCGUUAUAUUUUAUGAACAUUCGGAUACAUUGAUCCAUUCCCGUAGGUACCUUUUGUAGGCACGACUUCUUAGCAGUGUUCUCGUGCGGUAGUGUGCGAUUAGCAUUAUAUUUCCUUCGAGCAUAAGGUUAGUGGAUGAUUUCCGCGCAGGCAGAGGCGUACCGUGAAAUUGAUUGUUUUAAUUAAAGCGUGUAUCUAAUUAAAGCCAUCUGAUGAAAUGGUGGUUAUUGGGACGAGCAAAACAAACCAAAUGUAACAAACUCUGUUAUAUAAAUAAGUAUGUUUUAUAUACUAGUAACGGACUGCAGAACUGACCUCCCCAAUGAAAAAAGUCACCUAAUAACAGAGCGACACUUCGCAAGGUAAUUGUCCGCCAUGCCUAAAGGCUUCCAGCGACAUUGCUAGAUGUUUUGGGAGAGCGCAGAAGCAUCUGGUAGGGAUCGCAGGCAGAACCAAAAAAAGAACAGAGACUCCUAUGAGACUUGGACCUUGACUUAGGCCUUUCAGGAAGAAUGUUGCCUGAGGGUAUCAGACCUGACGCCUGACCGUGGGUAAAACCCACGUUCGGAUGACGUUGACAAUUGGUUACCUCGUCUUCGCCAGCGCAAACGCUUGAC